rnacentral:lncRNA from 1 species
GCAUGCUUGAAUUUGGUGCUAGGAUAUAAGUUUGUUUCACCUAAUUGUUAUGAAUUUAUAUUCACAAGUAGUGAAGGUCGUUAGUCACGAUCGUGUUAAGUAGAUUCCUGGCAAGAGUAUCAUGCUUUUCAUAGUUACAAAUGCCUUGUCGAUGCUUAUGAUUUCCAAAGAACGUAAUGAUUCUAACUUGUAUCUUUAUCAUGCGGUUCAUAUAGAGAACUUGUUAGGAAUAAUUUGUUUGCGAUGCAUAUUCAUUCCAAUUCAAUGAUCCUAGGGAAAUCUGAAGGUUAAUUUAAAGCGGACCUAAUUAACUUGGAGUGUCGAGGUUCAUAACUUAUUGAAUUGAUAACUGGAAAUUGAUUUACGUUGCAUAUAUUUCAUGUGUGGAGAAGAACCCCUUAGCCAUUCCAUCAUCCAUUGAUUCUUCAUAACUUUGUAUUACAGUCUGUUUCUCUUACAAUCUGCCAUAUAAGUUUAUUUUCGUCCAAAUAAAAUCCCCAAUUAUUUUGAAUUCCUAGAUUAAUUGGAAAGUGUGUUGGUUUAUGUUUUUAAGUGUUUUGGUAUAAGUUAAAACCCAAAAAUUCGUCCAAUUUGAUGCUUCUGUUCAAAACUGCCCAGAAAGUGGUUUUUAGGCAGUUUUGAGUGUUUGGUUGCUGUUUUGAUUCUUUUGGUUCGUUUUAGUGUUUUAGAGUUUAGUUUUGCAUUCUUUGAGUCUAAUCUAGUGCUUUAAACUUUGUUUUUACAUUUCUAAGUCAGUUUUCAAGUGUUUAGCAAUCCCUCCUAAUCCCCGGUCUAGAACGAUCCCUAUUUACAUACUUUGCUACAAUUGAUAAAAAGAGGGUUUAAUUUUGUGUGUUAACUUAUUUUUCACAUCAAUUUCUCAACUCACUUUGAUUUGAGUUGAGUCUUGGUUCACCAAUCUACUAGGCUUUGAAUUUCAUGGGUAAUGUUUUGUUUUUUGAAUGCAUGCAAGCAUGAUUCCGCCUUUUAAUUGUUAAAUGCAUGCUAUAGAUGUUAUUCAAAUGAACAUGUUUUCACAAAAUCAUCCUUCAAUAUCUACCACCAUUCACACAGCGAGAAACAUUCACAAACAUCCUUGCCGCAACCAUCAACUAAUCCAUUCACUACCAUACACAAUUCCAGCCAUUCUCCCAUACAAACCACCCUUCAAACCUUCACCCAACCCUUGUGCUGCAACAAAGAGAAGCAGGAGGACCCUUGGACGUGCUUGCCAUUCAAGUUGGAUUGCUGGAACGUUUUUAGGAGUUUUCAUUCUUUGUUUUCAAUGUCUAAAUUUAUGUAUCUUUGUUUUGUGAACAUAAGGAGCUAAACCCCUUUUAGCUAGGGGGAAGUUUGAAGCCAUGAACAUCCUUGAGAUAUGAAUUGAUUUCUUCCAAUUGUGAUUUGAUAAGUUGUGAAUGCAAUUCAAUUAACUCUUUUCUUCAAAACUGAUUCUUGUAUGUUGAUUAAGGAUGCAAACUUAGUUUUCAUGCAUGAAUUUGAUGCUAGAAUAUAAAUGAGUUUCACCUAAUCAUUACAAAUUUAUAUUCAUGAGUAGUGAAGGUUGCUAGUCACAAUCGCGUUAAUUGAAUUUUUGGCAAACGUAUCAUGCAUUCAUAAUUACAAAUGUCUCGUCAACACUUAUGAUUUUCGUGGAACGUAAUGAUCUCUGGUUGUAUCUCUAUUAUGCAUUCAUGUAGGGGGACCUUUGGACAAUAAUUUGGGUUGUCGCAUGCAUUCAUCUAAUUCAAUAAGUAAACGAAAAUCUGAUGGUUAAUUAGUGCAUCACAGUUAAUCUGGGGUGUUGAGCUUCAUAAUUCAUUGAAAAACAAGUGGAAAUCAAUUCAUGUACAAGUGUGUCAUGUGUGAAGAAUGGACCUUUAGCUAAUCCAUCAACCAUCUUAUUUGCCAAAAAUUCGUUUUACAAUCUAUUUAGUUUUACAAUUUGUUUACUUGCUUAAAAUUUGUCAAAAACCCAAUCCCCUUUACUUUAGAGUGUCUAAUUAGUUAGAAUCUGUAUUAGUUUAUAUUUUUAAGUGUUUUGAGUCAAGUUUCAAUCAAUUUUUGUCUAAGUCAUUCCUAGUGUCUAGUUUGAGUCUAUUUAGUCGUUUUAAGCUGUUUUGAGUCAUUCUAGUUAGUUUUGAGUCUUUUCAGUUUGUUUUGAGUUCUUUGAGUCUAGUUAAGUGUUUUUAAAGCCUAGUUUUAUGUUUUAAGGUCAGUUUUAAUAGAUUAGCAAUCUCCUAAUCCCUGGUCUAGUGAUGUGAAAAAUAAGUUAACACACAAAAUUAAACCCUCUUUUAUCAAUUGUAGCAAAGUAUGUAAAUAGGGAUCGUUCUGUUGGAAAUGUGCCCUAAAGCCAAUCAUGUGAUGAUACUUUACGGACAUUUCACAUGUUAAACUAAUCUAGUUUUACAUAUAAAGGGUAAAGAUUAUUGUUUGAGCCGUCUCAUAUAAAUGUUAUAUGCUUAAACGAUAAAGUCCAAGGAAUAUGUGAU